GCCUUUUUAGUAUAAAAAGUACUCCUGGCUUCCAACCGGAAGGUCUAGAACACUCUAGAAAAGGCA
rnacentral:tRNA from 1 species